rnacentral:rRNA from 1 species
GAUGAACGCUGGCGGCGUGCUUAACACAUGCAAGUCGAACGUGAGAGGUAGCAAUAUCUUGAAAGUGGCGAACGGUGAGUAACACGUAGGUGACCUGCCUCGGAGUGGGGGAUAACAGUUAGAAAUGACUGCUAAUACCGCAUGAAUCCACGGGAUUGGGAAAUUCGGUGGAGAAAACUCUGGUGCUUCGAGAGGGGCCUGCGGUCGAUUAGCUAGUUGGCGGGGUAACGGCCCACCAAGGCGACGAUCGAUAGCUGGUCUGAGAGGACGAUCAGCCACACGGGAACUGAGACACGGUCCCGACUCCUACGGGGGGCAGCAGUGAGGAAUAUUGGGCAAUGGGCGGAAGCCUGACCCAGCAACGCCGCGUGAAGGAAUGAAGGCCUUCGGGUUGUAAACUCCUUUUGCAGGGGAA